CACGAUCGCCUUCUGCACAGAGAUAAUCGUGUCCAUCUUCACCUUCAGGAUCACACCAGUAACUUAGGUGACCCGCUCUGAUACCACUUGUUAGUGCAAAGAUGACACCACAAUAAGGUAAUGCAUAAGAUAAAUCAAGAGACAAACAACUACAAGCAACCCUUAAGCUUUAUUAGAAAUCGCCUUGUACACUCUAUUAUAAGUUCUGCUUAAUCAGCUUUACACAGUCUGUUACACCCUAACAACUGCUACUGAAAGAUUCCUA
rnacentral:lncRNA from 1 species